GAGGAAUCUAGACACAUUUUAAAUCUAUGAAAGAUGUUGAUGAUGACCAUGACACUAAUGAAGUAUGAAACCAUAGGAAACUGUGAAAUGGAGGAGGGUUCCCCCACAUAUCUGGAGAAGAGCUCCCCUCUUGCACAGAAGAACAAAAGCAAAAGGAUCAAAGUGGUGGAACAACUAUAGAGUGUCUCAUUGCUAGAGACCCUUCAGAAAUGGAGAAGCAGGCUGCCAUGAUGAGAAGACUGAAGGACAAAGAAUAUAAAUGACUUUCCAAUGGUCUUCCAGGAAGAUGGUAACAAGUCCAGGGCUAUCAGUCAGAUCUCUCUCAACUUCCAGACUGCAUUUCACUGAUGUCAUGAGCUGAUCCGAUAAUCAACAGGUGGCAGUGUGGCAUGAAAUUAAAACAACGGAGAGGCUCAGAGUCAACAUCAUGUUGACAAGAUAGAGCAGGGGAGCCUGAUGUGCCCACGUGACCAAGGAACUGCUGCUGUGCAUGGCAACCAGGAGUGGAAUUAAAGAGAAACACCUCCUCUUCUUGUGGGGCCCUGUCCUCCUUGGCUCCUCCUGGCCCAUGGAUCCAUUCUUCUAAGUCUUUCUCCUGCAGCAGAUGCCACCAUCACUCCAUUUGGUGAUUGUUCCACACUGCACAGAAGAACAGGGGUCAAAAGCUACAUUCUUGAAAGGUGAUUUCUAACUGCGAUCACCAUCUUUGACAAUGGAUGGCUCAUCCGUCAACAACUGACUUCUGUAAGAAGUGAAAGAAAAAAGCUGUGUGUGGAAGGAGAUGAUUCAAUAGUAGAUGAACAGAAAGAGAAUCUGAAGUCUUAGUGGAUGAUGUCAGUGUCCAUUUCUAUCCGUGCAAGAGUUGUGCUAUUCUCCAUACUCUGGGUUUGAUUGCAUGCAUCACUUCCAUCUAUGUAUAUGUAUAGUUAGGAUUAUGUUUUCCAAUGUGCAUUACUUUGCAUUUUUCAACAUUAAAUUUCAUCUGCCAUUUUGUUGCCCAGUCACCAAGUUUUGUGAGGUCCUUUUGUAGC